GACGAACGCUGGAGGCGUGCUUAACACAUGCAAGUCGAACGGAAAGGCCCUGCUUGCAGGGUACUCGAGUGGCGAACGGGUGAGUAACACGUGGGUGAUCUGCCCUGCACUUCGGGAUAAGCCUGGGAAACUGGGUCUAAUACCGGAUAGGAGCCAUUUUUAGUGUGAUGGUUGGAAAGUUUUUUCGGUGUAGGAUGAGCUCGCGGCCUAUCAGCUUGUUGGUGGGGUAAUGGCCUACCAAGGCGGCGACGGGUAGCCGGCCUGAGAGGGUGGACGGCCACAUUGGGACUGAGAUACGGCCCAGACUCCUACGGGAGGCAGCAGUGGGGAAUAUUGCACAAUGGGCGCAAGCCUGAUGCAGCGACGCCGCGUGGGGGAUGACGGCCUUCGGGUUGUAAACUCCUUUCGCUAGGGACGAAGCUUUUUGUGACGGUACCUAGAUAAGAAGCACCGGCUAACUACGUG
rnacentral:rRNA from 1 species